UCGUAAUUACGUAUUCAAACAUGUGGCAGUGUGCUUAAGUUAAGAGGUUUUUCUAAUUCGAGCGUCGUCAUAUAAAUGAUUACAAAUAGACGAUCGUCACGCCGCUCGAAUCGACGUCAACGGCAUAUAAGAUAUCGAUAAGGACACAUGACAUUUUAGCCGCAGAACAAAGUGGCCCAUCCAAAAUAGUCGCUACAUUCCUUCGAGUGCUAUUUAAGCGCCAGGCAGAUACUUAGGUCGAUAGUCGUCGACUGUCGUUGAUGCUGUUUCUCAACAUUCUAUAAGUGAGUGAAUCUUCCGAUCAAAUGAAGCGUUUCACUAUUCUGAUUAUAUUUUUCAUCGCGCUAAGCACUGGAGAGUUCUCGCAAAUAACGCGAGAGGACUCUUCUUAUCGUAAAGGCAACAGUUGGAGAAUCGGCUAUGGAGAGACCAGCCAAUCAUCAAAUGUCGUUGACAAUAAAUCGACAACAACAUCAAAACCAACAACACCACCAAUAACAACACCAAAACCAGUCAUCCCUGAGAUAGAUUCAACGAACAAAACCACGGAGAAUGGUGGGGACAAAUCUUGCUCGUGCAAUUGUCCCGUCAAAGCUGAUCACGCGAGUCAAUUAGUUGCUCAUCAGAAGUUGGUGGCCGCCGUUACACAAUUUUGUUCCGAAGUAAAUUUAUUAAUUCAUCCGCAGAAAAAAUCGAGUUAUCAAUAUAAGUCUCCAAACUCGGUUCAUGGCAACGUACAUAUCUACACAUAACUAGCCAUCGACUGUAUCUUUUCAUGGGAAUGUGGGAAUAAAUAAAACGUCGCAAAAAAUAAAGUGAAUGAAACAUCAUCAUUUAA